rnacentral:tRNA from 1 species
AAUUAUUUUGGUGGCCGAGAUAGGCGAUAGAUUGUAAAUCUUUUCACGGGGACUACCCCC